UCAUUACUGAUGUCUACUUUAUCUGUUUUGAGAGCGUGCCACAGAGUGUAUUUUUGGCAUUGAUAUGUAAUUACUUGUAAUGCACAAGCCUGUCGGAUGGCUGAGCAGGAAGUAGGAAGCUCUGAGGAUGAAGUAUUCCCCCAUAGUUCCCUAUCCUGACUGCAGCCAAUCACCUGCUGUUGCCUGGUCUGUUGAUGUGCCUGUCUGCACAGUAUGACUCUAUCCCUGGUGUGCGCGGAUCUAAAGGCUUGACGGGGUUGAGAGGCGUUCGGCUGUCAUGUUGUGCAUUACUGCACAGAGAGUGAGAGGUGGCUGUCAGGGGAAACCAACGCAGCGCUUUCAUACCCUUCAGUUUUGGCCUGAGAACAGAGUCUAUUACUGCUCAAACCCAUGUCAACUUCAUAGUAAGACUAAACCACUGAACCUCUUGGAAAUCAAGCCUUAUCUCUUGGAAAUCAAGCCUUAUCCAACAAAAUGCAGAGUAGAAAAUAUUCAGUGUUCUCACAGGUUUGGCAACGUUUUUGUUAUGAUGCAAUAUUUGCCUUUUUUGUGAUUGUUGAAGACAGUGGUUUGGCAUUUUGCUCCUUGGUUUCCAUUAAAUACCUACACUGCUUGCAUGUUCCUGCGUGGCUGUUCAUGUCAUUUAGCAAGAAACCCUUGAAUUUGUUUGUUCUUUGAUAUAUUGAUACUUUUAUACAGUCACUCUUACCGAUGUAUUAUUCCCCAUAAAUGUUUUUCAGUUUUAGAUAAAAAUGACCUAUAAAAACAAAGAUGGCAUCAUGAUGAAUUAUAGCCUGUUGACAACUGCCAGUAAUGUUUUAAUAAGCAUUAAAGGUAUUGUUCACCCAAAAAUUCUGCCGUUGUUC
rnacentral:lncRNA from 1 species